AAAUGUCAAGAAAGGUAGAAUGUAUUCUGCAUUUAAAAUGAGUGCUUCGGCUCUCAUUUUUUACACCAACAAAGAGAGAAAGAAAGAGUGAGGUUUCAAAGGCAAGGCAUAAGAAACUGUGAGAAAAAUAGAGAGUGAACGAUAUUAUAGUAAGGUAGAAAUAUCAAAAGAGGGUUAUUUCUUUUGAUUAUUGUAGUAGUCUUUGGAGUAUUUUACUCGAAACUACAAGGUGUAAAAAUUCCUUACUAUAGUGAUAUCAAUUGCUCCUCUCACGGCCGUAGUUUUUUCCCUUAUUCAGAAGGGUUUUUCCCGUUAAAAUCUUGGUGUCAUUGUUACUCUAUUACUCUUGUUAAUUACCGUAUCUCGGUGCUACAUUAUUAUUCCGCUUUUAUUACCGUGAAUAUUAUUUUGGUAGGGG
rnacentral:lncRNA from 1 species